rnacentral:lncRNA from 1 species
UCUUUUUGUGCAUUUAUAUUUGCAGUAACGUAAGUAAACAUUCAAAAGCAGUUUACCUUAUCUGCACCAAUUGUGUUUUCUCAUAAUUGAAAAAUUACACUUUAAUUGUAGGAUGACUCUUUAGCAGGAGUUUCUGCCUCAUGGAUGGGGGUUUGAUCCCUGGCCUCGCCCAGUGGGUUAAGGAUCCGGCGUUGCCAUGAGCUCUGGUGUGGGUCACAGAUGUGGCUUGGAUCCCGCGUUGCUGUGGCUGUGGUGUAGGCCCGCAGCUGUAGCUCCAAUUCGACUCCUAGGCAGGGAACUUCCAUAAGCCACAGGUGCAGUCCUAAAAAGGAAGGAAGAAAGGAAGAAAUUGGAUGGGGAGAUAAAACUGUGAUAAAUGGAAAAAUGCUUAUAGUAUUGAAUAGAUUCAUGGAAUAGGACACACAAGUAACAUGGACAAUUGAAAAUCUGAUUUGAUUAGGGAGGUCUAACCAUUUUGUUAAAUGAACACUUUGAAGUUUCAUUGCAGCAAAGGAAACCCCUUAUAGGUUAGUGUUGGCUAUUAGCAUUAGUUUAAAGUUACCAAACAACGAGAUUACAGCAGAAUUUUAAAAAUUUCUAUACAUCUUGGUUUGCUAAUUGUGCUUUAUUUUACCUUUAGAAAGAUUUUUUGUUUGUUUUUUAGAGCCGUACCCACGGCAUAAAGAAAUUUCCAGACUAGAGGGUCAAAUUGGAGCUACAGCUUCCAGCCUACGCCACAGCCACAGCCACGGCAACGCAGAAUCCAAGCUGUGUCUGUGACUUACAUCACAGCUCACAGCGGUACCGAGUCACUGACCCACUGAGUGAGGCCAGGGAUCAAACCCACGUCCUCAUGGAUACUAGUCGGAUUCGUUCCACUGCACCAUAAUGGGAACUUCCGAGAAAGAUAUUUUUAAAUCAUGAGCAAUGAUAGUAUUAAAAUGUGUAAGGAACCAUGGUAUUCUCUGCUUGGUGAAAGGGGGAGAUCUUUGAGCUUUAUGUACCCCAGACAUGUCCCAAAUUGGACAAGAGGAUUCAGACCUCUUGUUCACUACUUUGACAGCUCUACCCAUCCCUCCUCCGCUCCCGAGGAGCCAUUGAUGUGGGUUCAAGGGGAAGGACAUUUAUUAGGUUAUGGUCUCAAGCGUGCUGUCUGUUAGGAUUCUCCCUUAUUUUUUUCCACAUGGCGGGUGUGUCUGAUCAGCCUAAGAUUGCCUCUGCUUGGAAGAUCGCAAGACAUCCUCCGUAGGAAGGGCUGGCUUAGGCCAAUUCAAUUACCUGCUUUGCAUCUUCAUGAAAAUCUCUUCCUAUUGAUUUGUGUUCUUAUACAAUUCUUUGUGUUUCUCUCCGACAGGGGAAUGGUAAACUAAAGAGCUGAGAUAAGGGUGUGGACCUGUAGGAUAGAAAGCAAAGAAGCUGCCCAGCCUGUUUUUGUUCUUGGCUUGGGCGGUGGUAGGCUGGUAAAUGUUCUAACAACCGGAUCUCUAGAAAGAAGUGUGUAUCCAUAUAUAAUGAAAUGUAAGUCUACUAGAAAUUUUCCUGAUGUACAAAAAAUAUACAUGUAACUCACAAAUUUAAUAGAAUAUACAAUUUUCUCUUUAAUAUGCUCUUAUUUAAUAUACUAUUAAAUACAGUACAUGCAUACAGUAAGAACUCGAUAAAAUACAAAGUUCACAAACAAUAAAACAUACAAUACCCUUUAUUAUGUAUUUUAUAUAGCUCAGCUGCCGGCCUACGCCACAGCCACAGCAACGCAGUGAUUCGCAAAGAAUGCUUUAAGUCUCGUUCCCCACAUGAAUGUUGGUUGAUGGUUUUCUUUACAUGAAAUAGUCAACUGAUUGCUGAAACAAGGAAGACAUCAUAUUUUGGAAUUUUGCUUGUUUGUCAGCAAAGAGAGAGUAACAUCUUCUCUAAAAUCAGGCAAUUUUCAAAUAUUGAAAGACUAUUUCUUCUACUUUUGUGCUAUUCACAAUGUGCUAGCUACAGGCAUGACAUGUUUUUAAGUUUAAUAUGCAUUAUUUACACUUUUCCAUCAUUUUCUCAUAUCUAGAGACAAUCUAAUAAAUCAAGCCCCCAUUUUUAGUGUUUGCUGAUUUCCAUGGUAUAAAUGUUUGGAUCUCAAGUUACCAACGUGAUCUCCCUGAGCAUGGACUUGGGAAGAGAUGCAUGGCCGUAGACCAUUACAUAGCAUUUCCCACCACUCCAUAUACAACAGAUGUGAAAACCUCAAGAACACAGAUAAUAGUAAAAUGUGGUGAGUGAGUAGGACAUGAUGAGCUUUGAGUAUUAGCUUUGGUUUUGAUAUAAUUUAUUUAAUAGUAAACUUAUAUAACUUUUGAUAACGGUUUGCAUGAUGCCUGAAAAUUCAGCAGUCAGCUCUUGUGAGCUGGGACAAGCCAGCCUCAGCUCAUCACUGACCUUAGGCCCUCCGACUCAAAUCACUGGUUCCCUGAUGCCAGCAGUGGUGGGGCCAGGAGACAUCCCAAUGUGCUGUGCUUUUUUUUUUUUGCUUUUUUUUAGGGCCGCACCCGCAGCAUUUGGAGGUUCCCAGGCUAGGAUCCAGUUGGAGCUACAGCUGCUGGCCUACACCACAGCCACAGCAACACUGUGCUGUGCUUUUUAAAAUACAGAAUCUGGGGCGUUCCUGUUGCUCAGUGGGUUAAGUACCCAACUAGUAACCAUGAGGACGCGGAUUCAGUCUGUCUUAACCCACUCACCCAGUGAGUUAAGAAUCCAGUGUUGCCACGAGCUGUGGUGGUGUGGGUCACAGAUAUGGCUCAAAUCCCGUGUUGCUAUGGCUGUGGUGUAGACUGGCAGCCAUAGCUCUGAUUUGAGCUGAGAACUUACAUAUGCCACAGGUACGGCCCUAAUGAGAGAAAAAGAAAAAAAAAAAAAAAAAAAUCCGGGGCCCCACCCCUGGGGAUAAAUCUGGAAUAAUACUCGAAACUAUAAUUGAGAACAAAACCAAACCAAACCAAACCUCCAAGUGGUCCUGAUGGGCAACCAGACGUAGGAACCAUUGCUCUGUCCAAGCCAGCUCACCAGAUCCCUCACAUCAGGAUUUGAAGCAGGAGUCCCAUCACCACUUUGUCUUUCUUCGCCUGGCCUUGUUCUCUGCUCACAUAUUGUAUCCCUUUGGAACCUCAUGGGGGAGAGGGUAGAAUGGGGGCUGAGAAGAGGGAGUUCUCGUGUUUGAGAUCCUGGGACUUGGCCCCUUUUUCUGCCACUGUUGACAUGGGGUAUCUUGGCUAGCCCCACCAUGUAUCACUACAGAGGUAGAAACCACCCCAUUUUCUCAGUUCCUAACCAGAAAUCAGGCCCUUAGACAAUACUGAAAAAGCAGAACUGGAUAUGAAAGGCUGUGGGCUGCAUGUGAAAGGCUGGUUAGUUGGAACCUUGAGAUCUUUUGCUGGCUACUGACUCAUGGGGAAGUUCUGACUCGGUAGCCCACAUUUUCAUGUCUUUGUUUAGUAAAGCUUAACAGCAAAGUGUGAUUGGCUCCUGUGUGGGUGUGGAGCCUGCUCGACAAAUGUAAAAGAACGAGAGAGCCUCCAUCGUUUUUUAAAAUUAGUUCAGGAAAACCUGAAAUUAGAACUCAGAAAGUAGGAAAUAAUGUCAUGUUUUCAAAAGGUCUUCUGCUUUGUGAAAAGCAUCAAGUUACAGAGAGAGCACCCUUUGGAUAAUUUUAAAUGGUGCUUACAAAAUCCUCACGGAUGUAAAUGGUCAUAGAAAUACCCCUGUUGCAUUAAGCAUACUGCACCUGUAUUCCCUGAACGGUAUCCAGAACCUGACUUAUAGCUGUGAAAUAGGAAAUGCGACCCAGCUGAGGCGUGGGGGGAAAAAUGGGGAGUGACAUACCACCGUAAGUGUACCUUUGGGGACAGUCACAACACCCAGGCUAAGUCACUUGCAGGCACCGUGACUGAGGCAGCAAUUUUGAAACUGCUUCUGUCCCUACAACACAUCCUGGCCAAUGUGUUACUAAUGAAAGUGAAGGAACCUUAGCCUUAGUGAAAGCCUUAAACUUGUCUUUUAAAUUCCUGAAACAUCAAUUAUAAAACAUAUAUGAGGGGAAAAAUUAUGGGUUGUGGAACAGGGAGGCCGGCACAUGAAAUCAGAUAAACCUGAAGUUGUACUAGCUCACAGAAUCCUAUUCUUUAUUAAUUAGCUCAACCCACAACUUCUCACGGAAAUUGUAAAAACCCAUUGGGGGCAGGAGGUGGCAGGACUUGUUCAAGGAUCAUUGGGAAUCAAAUUGUGCUCCUAAGCAGGUUCCAGGUCCUCUGAUGAACCUUAAGUACAUUAGUCCACAUGAGGUAUGCUACAGAUAGACAUGAAAAUAGAUGAUUAGGGCAUUAUUUGAGUUGGCUUUAAGUAAUGAUAUUUUCUAUCUAAAAGCGUCUUUAAACUCUGUCAAUGCCUAAUUUCAAAGGGAAAGUGUCUAACUUGGUAUGACAGGCAGGCUGCUCUUGGGCAUGGAGAACAGGGAUUGGAAACAGCAGCAAGCAAACCACGUGACUUGUUUUACUAAGUUGCUAGUGCCUCACAUUUGGGCUGAGACUGUUUACUCUCCUUCUACCUUAGCUGUUCCAGCUUGGACACGUGGACUCUUCUGUGCAGCAGCAUGCUCAGGGCACCAAGGAAACCUACUGGUCUCCCGUCCCUUUCACUGCAUUUCUCACCGCUUCCCUCACCCCCAUAUUUGGAAGGUUAGACGAGAGGGGCUUGCUCACUUGUGUCUCUGCCAUCCCACUCUCCUCCCAUCUGCAAGAGCCGUGUAUAGUGCUCUCUGCUACCUGGAGCCCCCAUUCCAUGACCUAGGCAGAAAGAUCCUAUCCCAGGAAGGCGUCCAGGAUGAUCACUAGACUGUGACAUCUGCAGACCAGAGUCAGGACAAGCGCAGCUCUCUGAAAGCCCAAGGAAGGUCGUGGCUGUAAGUCUCUGGGAAAGGUAGACUGAUGCCGUGAACCGGUGCUAAGCCUUGACUAGUCUCCGCAUGCCCUGUGUGCUGUCCCUGGGGCCAAAAAGCAGUGCUAGUCAUCACGCAGGGGGAAAUAGAAUCACUAACUUUCAUAAACUUAGCGGGCAUUUUGUCCUUUCAUGAUACCAUUCUGUAUUGGAAUUCUGCUCUCUUUCCUUCCAUGGCUCCUCUCUUAGCCCAAGGGACAACGUGACUCUCCAGCCUCGCCCUCAGUUGUGUCCCUCUCCUGCAUCCACAUGGAACCAUCUUUUGUUUGGUCUCCCUCAGAAUGACCAAUACUUGCCCUUUAAAACUCAGGUCAAGCAUCACUUCUUAGCUCUUGUGUGUAUUCUGGGACCUUUCAGGUGGAGUCAGACAGUCCUCUGCACACCUACAAAUGCCUUGUGGAUCCUUCCUUAGAGCACUUCCCACUGUAUCUAAUCAUGACCUUUCUUAUUCACCCAAUUAUGAAGACCAUGUUUCUGCAGCUCUGUCUCCGGCAUCCAGCAAAAGGGCUUGGCACAUGGUAAUUCCUCAGUCAGUGGUUGAACAAAUAAAUGAACUGUUGCAUGCUCAGAAAUUAAAAUGAAUUUGAAGAGAGGAGAGAAAAAGACAAAGGAUUUGUCUCUGAGCUCAAUUCUCAAAGACAGAAUCUGAACACUCUUCAGUGACCCCGCCUGUGAUUGGUGAGUGCUGGAAAUCUGACAGCAUGUGACUCAGGUAUUCCUAAGAAUAUAAAGCCUUGAGAAAGGGCAAACACUAUUCAGGAAGAGCUUGAAAUAAAAAUUAUCAUUAAACAAACACUGAGGGAGAGCUGUCUUUGGUAAGAAAUAUGCUCUAAGCAUGCAUCAGGAUUCAGAACAAAUAAAUCUAGAUAAAUGGGAGAUUGUAUCAAAAGGAACCUGUUUUGUUAGCUGGAAAGUUACGAAGGGUGAUUCAUAGCUCUCCUGGGUUAACAGCACAGUCAGUGACAUGGUAGCAGACAAUCUACAGCUUCUUAUUACAGUGUGCUUUUAGCUCAGGGCAAGAAAGGUAUUUCAUUCAGUGCGGUAGCAUGUAUGCCACAUGGCCAUUUGCUCAACACGGUCAAAGAAAGUAUCACUAUACAGGACUUUCUCCAAGUUGGUGAUAACGCAUAUCAAUGACCCCUACCAACCUAAAGCCAUACAGAACUGCACAGUUAGUUAUGUUUGUUUCCCCCAAAAGUUGGAUGUGGAUGUGCUGGGUUGCAUAAGGACAACUGCAACCACUUAUAUUGUAUUGUUCACAGCCCAGCCCCACCCUGCUCCAAAAGGAUUAAUGACGGAAAAAACCCAAAGGGCACAGAACUAAACAACACUCGUUUUUAAUGAAACUUCUCUAUAGUAAAUAAGCAUUGAAAAGAGGCCCAAUUCAGGAUCUUGGGCCCUGGUGCUAUAAGCUUAGAAUCAAAAUAGCCGUAUAAAUGCUCAUCACUACUUCUCUGCAGUGAACUGGCAAGAGCUUUCCUGGUAGAGUUCUUGGGGUUGAGGGUUCUUACUGGACCAGUUUUAAACGUGAGCAAGCGUGUUGUCUUUUUCCUCCGUAAAGAUCUUGCUGGAUUAGCCUGGGGCUUAGGGAAAGGCACCUGCUUUUAAAGAGGCUAAAGCUGAGAGUCCAGAAUGCACAGUCAGGACCUCUGACCAUGUUUGGAAGACCUUUAGAGACGGCUUAUUUUUCUAAACCGGUCUUGAAAGUUGCCCUCCUUGCCUGGCCUCUGGUGUUCCCUCAUCCAGUAUCCUUUGACUCUUUCCUGCGUGCCCCUUCACUGCACAGUUAGGGCAGUAGGUGGCAAAGAGAUCCCAAGCCGAUCGAUUUGUUUUUUAGUGACUUCUGGCUUUGCUGCCAGAAUCAUCCAUUGCCAAACAGUGGCUUGUGUUUGUCUAUGGUGAUGUGUGCACUAAAUAAUGCAGGGGAAUCCAGCAGGUGGUAGAGAAGGCACUGGCUCCUUUUUGUCUUGGCUCUUUGUAAGUGCUGUCCACUGGCAGAUAAACUGUGGUUCUCAGACUCCCUCUCUCACCUAAGCACGCAGACAUGAAGGAAGCUGAGUCCUCAGGUCUCCCUGUGAUCCUGUAUCCAUGGAGGUUACGAGUCCUCACCUUAGAGCUGACUGCCUGAGUUCCUACCCCCGCUCUCCCACUGCUGUGUGGCACAAGGCAAGCAGUUCGACCUCUCUGAUUUCUCCAACUAAAAAAUCGGGGUCAUCCUUAUAAUACCUGCCUCAUAGGGUUCUAGAGAGAAUUAAAAGGGUGAAUAAAGUACUUACAUGUUGAAGCCCUCUUGGCACACACAGUCUCAGAUCUUUCAGCCUUGCAAAACAGCAUUUACAGCUAAACGGCGUUGGGCUGUUUGUCUAGACAGCGCCUCAUUUUUUAAAAAAGGAGAAAACUAAACUCCAAAGAAAAGACAGGCCUUCUCCCAAAGUCCAGGGGCUGUUGGGGACAGAGGGAGAACUGACAUGUGAGCUCCUUGACAUCCAUGUGGUUCCUGGGCAAGGAGAGGAUCAGAUUUCCAGAGUAAACUGGCCGUUUCUUAGACUAGUUUUGUUUGCUUAGGCUUUCGGAAUGGGCAUAAAUGGAAGACUUUAUAGUUUAAGAAUAUAAUGCCAGAGUCAGUGUGUAAACUAGACGGAGACACGGGGAUUUCAGAGGGCAGAGUUCCACGUAGCCGUGGCCCAUACAUCCAGGGCUAUGGAACUGGGCUUUGGUGGUAAACAAUGUUGCAUACGAGGAGCUGGAAGUGGGUUCGCCAGCCCGGGGUUUUAAAAAAAUAAUGACCUGUGGUUGACAUAUGUAUUCAGUUCAGCAGCCAGGCAGUAAAAUGGGUGUCUUUAUUUUAUAGUUCUAUCUCACAUAUUAUCUGGACUAGCCUGGGGCUCAUAUUAUCUACACACAAUCCUCACUACCCCUCCCCUAAAAUCACAACUAUCAUCAACCAAAGGGGGCAUCAUGGCCCCUCUUUACUGCCACUUCCUCCUUCCUCCACGCGUGCCUCCUUCCUGACCGCCUUUUAAUGUCCGCCUCCGUGUGGCUUAGCCUCAAUAUAAAGGCCAGGAUGAGGCACAGUGUGAACUGCCA